UUCAUGAUCAAGGACUUUUGUGUGUUUGUGGUCACAUUGUUUUGUUUCUUCUUUCUUUAUACCAUUAACCACCUUGACGUAACAGUGUCCUGCUCCUGAUGCAUUUGUUCCGACUCUCACCACUCUUAGCUGCAAUAUUUUUUUCUCCUUACAGCAACAGUUGAGCAUAGUGUCCAGUGCUUCUUCUUCUUCAGCUUAAAAUAUCCUUGCUUGAAAGUUCUUGAAUGAAAACACAGGCAAUGACGAACACAAACAUAAAUAAUAACUGUGCCA